rnacentral:rRNA from 1 species
ACUCCUACGGGAGGCAGCAGUGAGGAAUAUUGGACAAUGGGCGGGAGCCUGAUCCAGCCAUGCCGCGUGCAGGAAGACGGUCCUAUGGAUUGUAAACUGCUUUUGUACGGGAAGAACAAGGGGCACGUGUGCCCUUCUGACGGUACCGUAAGAAUAAGGAUCGGCUAACUCCGUGCCAGCAGCCGCGGUAAUACGGAGGAUCCAAGCGUUAUCCGGAAUCAUUGGGUUUAAAGGGUCCGUAGGUGGAUGAUUAAGUCAGGGGUGAAAGUCUGCAGCUCAACUGUAGAAUUGCCUUUGAUACUGGUUAUCUUGAGUUAUUGUGAAGUAGUUAGAAUAUGUAGUGUAGCGGUGAAAUGCAUAGAUAUUACAUAGAAUACCAAUUGCGAAGGCAGAUUACUAACAAUCAACUGACACUGAUGGACGAAAGCGUGGGGAGCGAACAGGAUUAGAUACCCUGGUA